GGGCGCAGAGGUCAAUCGGGGGUGGGCCCGAUGUUGAAGUACCGGCUACUGCCUCGUCCGGUGAAGAGGAGGACGACAGACCCGGCAUGGUUGGCUCAUUUAAAGACAGAUUCUCUUUGUUUUAUUUAAAGCCAUCUACAGCUUCCCCUCUUGGUCAGAGGCUUUCUGUUUAGAAACUUCCCUUUAUCUCACUAGUUGUUCUUUGAACCAGACGUCCUCCCUACUUUAGUCCUUCUGGCCUUAUCAUUUAAGCUAACUUCAAUUCUUUAAUUUUGUACUUAUCCUACACCCACCUCCUGGCUGAGGUUAUGGCUACCAGGAACGCAACCUUCAUAAAUAAGCGAUACACGGAACAUGUAGACAGAGGUUCCAAGGGCGGCUUUGUGAGCACCGAAAGAACAAGGCUUAGGUCCCACUGAGGAGAAGAAAGGUUCUAACUCAGCCCUUCCAGAAUCAGGCAGUCAGCAGGUAAACAAAAAUUGAGUUCCCAUAUGAAGGUGAGUAGUAUGCACUGACAGGUGCCAGGUCAACUCAUAAAGAGCUGAUGGAAAGACCAACUGCUUUGACGGAAAGAAGAUAGUCAAGAAUAAGGGGAAUACCUGCAGCUUCUGGGGAUAUAAGUUGCUGUGUCCAGACAGAGAAACACUUCCACUUGGCUAAGUAGCCUUUCCUAAUGGAAUCUUUUCAACUAUUAGUAAGGAUCCUUUGCAUGGCUUCAGAGCAGAAAUGUUCUAGAGUUGAUGCCCAUCCAAAAACCCAUGCCUGAGAUGGAGUGCUUGGGGGUUGGAAUGCUUGAUUCUGCCCUUCCUCUGCGUCAGGGUACUGGAAAAGGGCUGAAUAUUGAUCUAUGACAAAGAUGACUGGAGUAUGAGACUCGGGAAUCAAAACUGUCUGGUCCAGUUGGGGGCAAUGAUGACGACUCGUGUCUUGUCCUGAUGAAUCUUCCACAAGACUCAAAAUGGGAGUGGUAAGGGAGGGAAGGCCUAGUUCACAUGAUGUGACCGCAGAAGGAGAGUGUCACCCUACGAAUGAAGUCCUAGGGAGCCUCUGGAGUACUAUAUGUUACACUUCCUGGUUGUUUGAGAGGUGAACAGGUCUGUGGUGGGGGUUCUCCAUACAGCAAAAAUAUUAUUUAUCAUGGAGUCAUGUAGCUCCCACUCAUGGUUGAUAGCAAAGCGUCUGCUGAGCGUGACCAUCAGCUCAUUUUGAUUCCCUGCAAGGUAAGCUGCCAAAAGCUUGAUCUGAUUGCUGAUGCACCAAUUCCAUGGAUUGACUGCUUCUGCACAUGGGGAUGGAUCUCACUGCUCCCUGCUUGUUGAUGUAAAAGAUGGUUGUCAUAUUGUUCGAUAUUACCAAGACAUGGGGACAUUGUAUGAAUAGGAGAAAGGCUUUGCAAGCCUCUGAUUGUCCACAAUUCCAUAAUGUGCAUAUACUUCCUGGUCUCUCAGGAUGUUCAAGUGCCCUGUGCUGUAUGACUGUCCAUCUGGGCUCCCCAGCCUAAGAGAGAGACAUCUGUAAUGAUCACUGUGCCUGGUGAGAGGGAAGGAAGGGAACACCUACGCAUAUUUGGUGGGAUCCUUCCACCACAGUAGAGAUGAUUACUGUGGUGGGAACUAUUGCUCUUGUGUUCAUGGACAGUUUGUUUGAUGAGUACACUGUCUGAAGCCAUGCCUGUAGGCAGCAAAGAUGGAGUCUGUCAAGCGAUGUGAUGUAAGUGCAUGAAGCCGUAUGUGCCGAGAGAGAGAGAGAAAUUUUGGUUGAUGUUCAAGGGCUGUUUGUGACCUGAUCCAUAAGGUAAUUCAUUGCUUGGAACCUGUCCAUUGGCAGGUAAGCCCUGGCCGUGACUGAAUUUAGGGACACCUUGACAAAGUCUAAAGUCUGUGUUGAUAUUAGGCCGGCAGACACUGCCUUCAAAAUUCUCCAACUCUGGGUGCAUGGAGCACAUGUGUACCCACAGUGGAAUACACAGAAGGGCUAGCAAUUGCAGAAAAAUCUGUUAUUGGAUGGAAGAGUACAAGGAAACAAUGGGACAACACGACUCAGUACGCCGGACAGUGGUCUCAGCACACCAACAGCCUAACCUUAGUCAAUUUUUUUGUAGGCUUCACGGCAAAGGAGUUUUAAGGAGGCAUUUGUAGGACAAUAAUGAGGUAGCUUUGUAGAUGUUUACGGGGAGCUCCUCCUAAGCCUGAGGGGCAGCACAGGAGAAAGCAUGAAUAUGUUUGUUUGAAAAUCAGAAUGGAUAUAAGCAGGGCAAGACAGCAUUUGUCAAGGCCACGCAGAAGGAUGUGGCAAUAAUCAAGAGAACGUGGAUGACAGUUUUAGCUCUUUGGGUGGAGAGAAAAAGGCCUUAUCUUAGAGAUGUUAUGUAGAAAGAUUUGGCAAGAUUAAAACAUAGUCUGGAUGCAAGGACUUAGACAGGGGUUUGAGUCGAAGAUGAUGCCCAAGUAAUGGGCCCAAUGACAGGUGGGCAAUGGUGUUGUCAUAGAAUGUCAGGGUUGGAAGGCACCUCAGGAGGUAUCUAGUCCAACCCCCUGCUCAAAGCAGGACCAAUCCCCAACUAAAUCCACAGUGAUCAAGUAAGCAGGCAGUAAGGAGGACAUGGGGGGAAGGUCAGAAGCUGUUUUAGCCAUGUUGAGCAUGAGCUGAUGGCUAGACAUCCACGAGGAGCUGUCAGAGACAGGCCAAGAUUUCAGUCUGGACAGAAGGAGACAUGCCUGGACCAAAGGUAGAACUGAGAGUCAUCAGCAUCCAGAUGGUAGUUGAACUUGUAUUUGUGGAUGAGAUUACCCUGUAUAGACGUGUAGAGGGAGAAGUGGACCAAGGGCAGAGCCAUAUGGAGCCACCAUAUAAUGUUGGAGUGCAGAUGAGGAUCCCCCUCCAAAGGGCAUGUUGAAUGUGUGACUAAAGACGUAGGAGGAGAACGAGGAAGAGGCAAAAUCACCAAAGCCAAGGGAGGACAGGAUUUCCAAAAGAAGAGCAUGGUUGAUAGUGCCAAAGGUGGCUGACAGACUGAGGAGCUUUGUCUAGGAAGAGGUUAUUAGAGACUAUAGCAAGAGUGCUUUCAGUGGAGUGUAUGGGCGGAAGCCAGAUUGGAGAGGGCCUAGGAUGGAACUCCAGACAGCAAGUUCUACACUUUGUUUUAGGACGACAGACAAGAUGAUGAACAGUGGUCCCUGCUGGCCCUGAUAAUCUAUUAUUUUAGACAGUGUGUUCAAUGAGCUUUCUAGAUGGAAGGGAAAUGGGGCAGUAGUUGGAGACACAAGUGGGGCCAAGCGAGGGUUUUUUAAAAUAGGAAAGGCUAAAGCAUGUUUGUAUUGUGAGAGGAAAGAGCACGAGGAGAGUGAGAAAUUACGGAGAAGAGUGAAAGUUGGUGCGAGGAAGAUCAGGACAUGGGAUGGGAUCAGGGCAAAUAGAGACCUUAGAGGUGCGUAGAUAACAGAACAUUUGUGCUUCUGUUCCUGCAGCUCCCUCUGCUGUGACCCUCACAACACGGCAUCUUGAAGGGUGGUACAGGGUUACUCAUUUUCCCCUUAGAUGGAUUUUUUUUCAUUCUAGGACUGGUGCCUGGGGAAUAGCUAUUUGUGAGUUUCACAGUAAAUAAAAAUUAUGCUGCUCAUGGUAGGGAGUGUUCUGUCCAGGUCAAACCCAACAGCAACUCCUGGAUUCAACCUCAGUAUCAGUACUCAAUAGAGAACAAGAUGUCAUAUAAAUGGCCAGCUCCAU